CGCAUCUGUGCAUGCAGCAUAUCAAUAAGCGGAGGAAAAGAAACUAACAAGGAUUCCCCUAGUAACGGCGAGUGAAGCGGGAAGAGCUCAAAUUUGAAAUCCUAAAGGGUUUCCCUUUACGAAUUGUAGUUUAAAGAAGUGUUUUCUGUUGAGGUUUUGGUAAAAGUUCUUUGGAAUAGGACAUCAUAGAGGGUGAGAAUCCCGUAUUUGACCUUUACUUUCAACUUUGUGAUACACUUUCAAAGAGUCGGAUUGUUUGGGAAUGCAGUCCAAAAUGGGUGGUAAAUUUCAUCUAAAGCUAAAUAUUGGCGAGAGACCGAUAGCGAACAAGUACCGUGAGGGAAAGAUGAAAAGAACUUUGAAAAGAGAGUUAAACAGUACGUGAAAUUGUCAAAAGGGAAGCGUUUGACACCAGUGUUGUUUUUCUGAAAAUCAAUUAAAGAACUGUUUAUGCUAAGUUGUUUAGACUUUAUCAGCUAACUGUUUAGUUUUGAGCUUUUCUUUAAUGCACUUUUCAGUUAACAAGUCAACAUCAAUUUCUUUUGCUGUAAGAAAGCUUGAGGAAGGUGGCUUGAGAUUCGUCUUAAGUGUUUAUAGCCUCUUGCCUAUGCAGUCGGAGAGAUUGAGGUCUGCAGCGUAGAUCCUUCGGGGCUAAAUGCAUUUGUGCUAAGUUAUAGCAUUUUAUAGACAACUUGUUGACUAUGAUUUGUCUUGUAGCUUACUCGCUUAUGUUAUUUUACCUACGCUUAGGAUGUUGAACGCGCACAGAGUCUC
rnacentral:rRNA from 1 species